CCCACUUGUCCUACUCCGAAAGCCUCAAAAACCUAAAGUUGCCCACUCUCGAGGAGAGAAGGGAAUUGUUAUGCAGAUCUUUUCACAAAAACAAUUAUAGUGACACUUCGAGCAAAAUUUUUAAUCUAUUACCUGAACCUUUAGAUCAUCAGUACAAUCUUAGACAUUCCCGAUCUAUCUCACUUUUUAAAACCCGAACUAAACGCUAUAAUGAUAGUCUUUUGCCAUAUUGCGUACGCAAAUGGAACUCUUUUUAACCUUUUAGGCUUCUAUAGAUUAAUAUAUCAUUUGUAAAUUAGCAAUCCUACGUUAUUGUAAUUAGUAUUACCAGCGUAUCUAUAAUCUGUAUAUACGUAUUUUGUUCUACUAUUUUUAAACUAUGUAAACUUGUGUUUUUCAGUUCGAUUUUG